rnacentral:rRNA from 1 species
GACGAACGCUGGCGGCGUGCCUAAUACAUGCAAGUCGAGCGAAGUUUUUCUGGUGCUUGCACUAGAAAAACUUAGCGGCGAACGGGUGAGUAACACGUAAAGAACCUGCCUCAUAGACUGGGACAACUAUUGGAAACGAUAGCUAAUACCGGAUAACAGUAUUUCUCGCAUGAGAGAUAUUUAAAAGUUGGUUAUGCUAACACUAUGAGAUGGCUUUGCGGUGCAUUAGCUAGUUGGUGGGGUAAAGGCCCACCAAGGCGACGAUGCAUAGCCGACCUGAGAGCGUGAUCGGCCACACUGGGACUGAGACACGGCCCAGACUCCUACGGGAGGCAGCAGUAGGGAAUCUUCCGCAAUGGGCGAAAGCCUGACGGAGCAACGCCGCGUGAGUGAAGAAGGAUUUCGGUUCGUAAAGCUCUGUUGUUAGGGAAGAAUGGAUAUGUAGUAACUAUACAUGUAAGAGACGGUACCUAACCAGAAAGCCACGGCUAACUACGUG